UACGUAGGGUCCGAGCGUUGUCCGGAAUUACUGGGCGUAAAGAGCUCGUAGGUGGUUUGUCGCGUUGUUCGUGAAAACUCACAGCUCAACUGUGGGCGUGCGGGCGAUACGGGCAGACUUGAGUACUGCAGGGGAGACUGGAAUUCCUGGUGUAGCGGUGAAAUGCGCAGAUAUCAGGAGGAACACCGGUGGCGAAGGCGGUUCUCUGGGCAUUACCUGACGCUGAGGAGCGAAAGUGUGGGGAGCGAACAGG
rnacentral:rRNA from 1 species